UACGUAGGGUGCGAGCGUUGUCCGGAUUUAUUGGGCGUAAAGAGCUCGUAGGCGGCUUGUCGCGUCGGAUGUGAAAGCCCGGGGCUUAACUCCGGGUCUGCAUUCGAUACGGGCAGGCUAGAGUGUGGUAGGGGGAGAUCGGAAUUCCUGGUGUAGCGGUGAAAUGCGCAGAUAUCAGGAGGAACACCGGUGGCGAAGGCGGAUCUCUGGGCCAUUACUGACGCUGAGGAGCGAAAGCGUGGGGAGCGAACAGG
rnacentral:rRNA from 1 species